GGAUGAAGGAAGUGGGGUAGCAAAAUUUUGAGCCUACGAACAGAAACUUGAUAAUAAAGGCUAUGAGGAGGAUAAGAUUGCAUAUCAAAUCAAAAUCCAAAAGGUAAACGUAUAACCAAAAUAGUAAAUCAAGAGGUUGUGGAAUGAAAGAUUA
rnacentral:ncRNA from 1 species